AGCUUUUCACAGUGGCAGAAUCAUAGCCAAUGAGGAUUAUCUGAGGUAUAAGUUUUGCAAAUUGAAAACUUUUCCCAAUACCCAUGACUGGGUAUCGCAAUAUAGUCAACACUGACAAUUUUUGAUGGUCUCUAUGGAGA
ensembl:snRNA U4 U4 spliceosomal RNA